rnacentral:rRNA from 1 species
UACGAAGGGGGCUAGCGUUGCUCGGAAUCACUGGGCGUAAAGCGCACGUAGGCGGAUGUGCCAGUCAGGGGUGAAAUCCCGGAGCUCAACUCCGGAACUGCCUCUGAUACAGCACGUCUUGAGUUCGAGAGAGGUGGGUGGAAUUCCUAGUGUAGAGGUGAAAUUCGUAGAUAUUAGGAAGAACACCGGUGGCGAAGGCGGCCCAACUGGCUCGAUACUGACGCUGAGGUGCGAAAGCGUGGGGAGCAAACAGG